CUCUAUACUCCUGCUUAACACAAGUUGAGUAGGGAAAGUUUUUCGGUGUAGGAUGAGACUAUAUAGUAUCAGCUAGUUGGUAAGGUAAUGGCUUACCAAGGCUAUGACGCUUAACUGGUCUGAGAGGAUGAUCAGUCACACUGGAACUGAGACACGGUCCAGACUCCUACGGGAGGCUCUAUACUCCUGCUUAACACAAGUUGAGUAGGGAAAGUUUUUCGGUGUAGGAUGAGACUAUAUAGUAUCAGCUAGUUGGUAAGGUAAUGGCUUACCAA
rnacentral:rRNA from 1 species